rnacentral:rRNA from 1 species
UUAAAUUGAAGAGUUUGAUCAUGGCUCAGAUUGAACGCUGGCGGCAGGCCUAACCCAUGCAAGUCGAACGGUAACAGGAAGAAGCUUGCUU